rnacentral:sRNA from 1 species
GUAAUACAAUCAAAGCAGCCAAAAUGACUGAAUAGCAAGCCCAAGCAAGCCCAGCAGGCCCUGGAGGCCCAGCAGCCCGCGCCGCCCGCCAACCCGCUCCCGCUCCCGUUCCGCCCCCAUUAAUACAUCAUUACCAUGAGCACACGCCCUCUGCUCUACUCCUCCAUAUCAGCAGGUCACUCUACAAGCCUACAUUUCUCUGACGACCUGAUCUGUACCCUGCUGCAUUCCAUUUCAUCCGCUGUCAACAAACCCCCGGCCCCUCCAAAACUCAACUGAGGACACGUAAAAUUUGGAACCACCGCGAAACCAGAGCAGAUAAGUAGCUGCGGGCCAGGAGUAGCAGAAGCGGCCAACAUAGUAAUGGGC